rnacentral:lncRNA from 1 species
GUGAUUGUAGCAUUAGAAUAAAUAUAUUUGUCACUGUCGUAAAAAAAAUAACUCUUCAGAAUGUGUCUUAUUUAGGGUAACCAAAUAAUAAAAAGAAAUUAGUUUGGUAAAUCUCCCUCUUACUCUUUUCGGAGAUCCGAAUUCAAACUGACCAAAAAGACAAACAAACAACAACAACAACAACAACAAUCCAGUAUAAUCCCACUUAGUAGGGUCUGGGAAGGGUAGUGUGUACAGAGACCUUACCCCUACCCUUGGGUAGAGAGGCUGUUUCCAAAUAGACC